rnacentral:rRNA from 1 species
UACGGAGGGUGCAAACGUUGCUCGGAAUCAUUGGGCGUAAAGCGCACGUAGGCGGCUUGUUAAGUCGGAUGUGAAAGCCCUCGGCUCAACCGAGGAAGUGCAUACGAAACUGGCGAGCUUGAAUAUGGAAGAGGGUCGCGGAAUUCCCGGUGUAGAGGUGAAAUUCGUAGAUAUCGGGAGGAACACCAGUGGCGAAGGCGGCGACCUGGGCCAAUAUUGACGCUGAGGUGCGAAAGCGUGGGAGCAAACAGG